CUCUCUCUCUCUCUCUCUCUCUCUCUCACACACACACACACACACAGAGGCACACAUAAACAGAGAGACCCAUGCACUUCACUUCUCUCUAUAAAAUCUCUUUCUUUCUAAUUGGGUUUGUUGAGCUGAGGCAUGGUUGCUGGCCAAAUCUGGAAUAGCCUAUUUCAUGGUUGUCUACCAUUUGAAGGAAAUCUUCUUCUUUGGGCAGAGCCCUUCCCGUCCACCAGCUAUACCAGUCUCUAGCUCAACACACGGUGCUUUGUUUAAGGAGGUUAGUCGGUAAAACCCAUUUGAUCAGUGACAGUAGAAGAGGCUUCAAAUUAGAGACCAGUGGUGAUAUAUUGCUUUGGUGGGAGAACAGAGAAGUCAGAAAAAUUAAUUGACAAUUGAGUA